AACGCGAAGAACCUUACCUGGAUUUGACAUCUCCUGAAGCGGGGUCGAAAGAGCUCGCGCUCUAGCAAUAGAGCAGGAAGACAGGUGCUGCAUGGCUGUCGUCAGCUCGUGUGGUGACAUGUUGGGUUAAGUCCCGCAACGAGCGCAACCCUUGUCCUUAGUUGCCAGCAUUUAGUUGGGCUCUCUAGGGAGACUGCCGUGGUGAACACGGAGGAAGGUGGGGAUGACGUCAAGUCCUCAUGGCCUUUAUAUUCAGGGCAACACACGUGAUACAAUGGACGGUUCAAAGAGACGCGAAGAGGCGACUUGGAGCCAAUCUCAAAAAGCCGUUCUCAGUUCGGAUUGGAGUCUGCAAUUCGACUCCAUGAAGUUGGAAUCGCUAGUAAUCGCGGAUCAGCAUGCCGCGGUGAAUCCGUUCCCGGGCCUUGUACACACCGUAGAGAC
rnacentral:rRNA from 1 species